rnacentral:rRNA from 1 species
GAUGAACGCUAGCUACAGGCUUAACACAUGCAAGUCGAGGGGAAACGAUAGAGAAAGCUUGCUUUUUCUUUAGGCGUCGACCGGCGCACGGGUGAGUAACGCGUAUCCAACCUGCCCAUCACUUGGGGAUAACCUUGCGAAAGUAAGACUAAUACCCAAUGAUAUCUCUAGAAGACAUCUGAAAGAGAUUAAAGAUUUAUCGGUGAUGGAUGGGGAUGCGUCUGAUUAGCUUGUUGGCGGGGUAACGGCCCACCAAGGCGACGAUCAGUAGGGGUUCUGAGAGGAAGGUCCCCCACAUUGGAACUGAGACACGGUCCAAACUCCUACGGGAGGCAGCAGUGAGGAAUAUUGGUCAAUGGACGAGAGUCUGAACCAGCCAAGUAGCGUGCAGGAUGACGGCCCUAUGGGUUGUAAACUGCUUUUAUAAGGGAAUAAAGUGAGUCUCGUGAGGCUUUUUGCAUGUACCUUAUGAAUAAGGACCGGCUAAUUCCGUGCCAGCA